rnacentral:rRNA from 1 species
CUUCGGGAAACGGGCUCUAAUCGCGGAUAAUAUUGAGCUUCGCGGGACGCAAUAGUGAAAGACGGUUCCGCUGUCUCUUAUAGGGGGCCCCGCGGUGUAUUAGCUAGUGGGUGGGGUAACGGCUCACCAGGGCAACGAUACAUACCCGACCUGAGGGGGUGAUCGGCCACUGUGGGAGUGAGACAGGGCCCACACUCCUAGGGGGGGCAGCAGUGGGGAAUCUUCCGCAGUGGACAAACGUCUGACAGAACCCCCCCGCGUGAGUGAAAAAGGUUUUCGGAUCAUAAAACUCUGUUGUAAGGAAAAAACAAGUACGUUAGUAACUGAACGUACCUUGACGGCCCCUUACCAAAAAGCCACGGCUAACUACGUGCCAGCCCCCGCGGUAAUACGUAGGUGGCAAGCGUUAUCCGGAAUUAUUGGGCGUAAAGCGCGCGUAGGCGGUUUUUUAACUCUGAUGUGAAAGCCCCCGGCUCACCCGGGGAGGGUCAUUGAAAACUGGAAGACUUGAGUGCAAAAGAAGAGAGUGAAUUUCCGUGUGUAGCGGAAAAAUGCACAGAUAUAUGGAAGAACACCAGUGGCGAGGGCGUCUCUCUGGUCUGUCUCUGACUCUGAUGUGCAAAAGCGUGGGGAUCACACGAGAUUAUACCCCGUGGUACCCCACCCCAAACACGAUGAGUGCUAAGUGUU